AUUGAACGCUGGCGGCAGGCCUAACACAUGCAAGUCGAACGGUAGCACAGGAGAGCUUGCUCUCUGGGUGACGAGUGGCGGACGGGUGAGUAAUGCAUGGGGAGCUGCCCAAUCGAGGGGGAUACCAGCUGGAAACGGCUGCUAAUACCGCAUACGCCCUGAGGGGGAAAGGUGGGGACCUUCGGGCCUACCGCGAUUGGAUGCACCCAUGUGGGAUUAGCUAGUUGGUGAGGUAACGGCUCACCAAGGCGACGAUCUCUAGCUGGUCUGAGAGGAUGACCAGCCACACUGGAACUGAGACACGGUCCAGACUCCUACGGGAGGCAGCAGUGGGGAAUAUUGCACAAUGGGGGAAACCCUGAUCCAGCCAUGCCGCGUGUGUGAAGAAGGCCUUCGGGUUGUAAAGCACUUUUGUUGGGGAAGAAACCGGCCGGGUUAAUACCCUGGUUGAAUGACGGUACCCAAAGAAUAAGCACCGGCUAACUUCGUG
rnacentral:rRNA from 1 species